rnacentral:rRNA from 1 species
CAGUAGCCGCGGUAACACGAAGGGUGCAAGCGUUAAUCGGAUUUACUGGGCGUAAAGCGUGCGUAGGCGGCUUCUUAAGUCGGAUGUGAAAUCCCUGAGCUUAACUUAGGAAUUGCAUUCGAUACUGGGAAGCUAGAGUAUGGGAGAGGAUGGUAGAAUUCCAGGUGUAGCGGUGAAAUGCGUAGAGAUCUGGAGGAAUACCGAUGGCGAAGGCAGCCAUCUGGCCUAAUACUGACGCUGAGGUACGAAAGCAUGGGGAGCAAACAGGAUUAGAUACCCGAGUAGUCCCUGUCUCUUAUAC